rfam:Heterocephalus glaber contig86949, whole genome shotgun sequence.
UGGCGCCCAACGUGGGGCCAGAGAACGGGGGGAUCCAGUGAAGAACGCUGCUCGGGGGCCCAAUAAAAUAAAAUAGAAAAAAGAGGAUUGCGUCUGACGUGAACCUGCCGUCUUUCCUGCACCUCGGUGAGUUGAGCAGCGAUUAUGGGACAGGGCAUUAGCCAACAUGAGUUAUUUGUACAAGGUCUUAAAGAAACUUUACAGACACGAGGGGUAAAGGUUACAGUCAAACAGUUGUUAAAAUUUUUUUUUGAUUAUAUUAGAGAUCUCUGCCCUU